GGCCCUACGGGGCGCAGCAGGCGCGCAAACUUUACAAUGCGAGCAAUCGUGAUAAGGAAACCCUGAGUGCCUGUCGAUGCAGGCUGUUCAUAUAUCUAAAUCAUAUGUGAAGAAAGGGCAGGGCAAGACCGGUGCCAGCCGCCGCGGUAAUACCGGCUGCUCGAGUGAUGGCCACUAUUACUGGGUUUAAAGCGUCCGUAGCUUGACUGUUAGGUCUCUUGGGAAAUCUUCGCGCUCAACGUGAAGGCGUCUAAGAGAUACCGGCAGUCUUGGAACUGGGAGAGGUAAACCGUACUUCGGGGGUAGGAGUGAAAUCUUGUAAUCCUCGAGGGACGACCUAUGGCGAAGGCAGUUUACCAGAACAGCUUCGACAGUGAGGGACGAAAGCUGGGGGAGCAAACGGGAUUAGAUACCCCGGUAGUCCCAGCCGUAAACAAUGUGCGUUAGGUGUGUCGGUAACCACGUGUUACUGAUGCGCCGAAGAGAAAUCGUGAAACGCACCACCUGGGAAGUACGGUCGCAAGGCUGAAACUUAAAGGAAUUGGCGGGGGAGCACCACAACAGGUGGAGCCUGCGGUUUAAUUG
rnacentral:rRNA from 1 species